rnacentral:rRNA from 1 species
AUGUGGCAGGGCUGUCAUAAAACAUAUGAAAUGGAUAUGCAAGCUCAGUUUAUGAGAUCUCUGACUAAAGGACCUAAACUAGAUUUUCCUAGAUUUUCUAGUGAAGAUCCAGUGGGUUGGAUUAGGCAAUGCAACAAAUAUUUCCAAAUGUCAACAGCACCUGAUGAGUAUAAAGUUUCCCUUGCCCAAAUGUAUAUCAUUGGAGAAGCUGAUACCUGGUUAAGAAGAUCUGGACUGUUGAAGAAGCAACUCUCAUGGACACAAUUUGGGAAAGAGGUCAUAAAAAGAUUUGCAGAGCAUGGUUCUUAUGACUUAACUGAGAAAUUUAACUCUCUGAAGCAAGGCAACAGUUCAGUUUUUGAAUACACAAAGAGUUUUGAAGAUCUUAUGGCAGAAGUGUUGGAAGAAACACCUGAAUUAGGAGAACAGUGGUUUGUGAGAUAUUUUGUCAAUGGCUUAAAGGAAGGAAUUAAAUUCCAAAUCAGGCCACUCAUACCACAAUCUCUGACAGAUGUCUACUGUUUAGCUAAGGAGGUGGAGCCAAACCAUCGACCAACAAAUACAAUGCAGAAGAAACAGCAGAGUUCCUUUGUGAAUUUCUACCAAAAGAAUAGUGGAAAUUUCCAAAACAAGAGCAGUACUACAACAACCAUACCCCAGCAGAGUGGACAAAAUAAGCAGGCUGAGGGCACCAACAACAAUCCUCAAAAAACUUAG